CGGCGGACGGGUGAGUAAUGCCUAGGAAUCUGCCUGGUAGUGGGGGACAACGUUUCGAAAGGAACGCUAAUACCGCAUACGUCCUACGGGAGAAAGCAGGGGACCUUCGGGCCUUGCGCUAUCAGAUGAGCCUAGGUCGGAUUAGCUAGUUGGUGAGGUAAUGGCUCACCAAGGCGACGAUCCGUAACUGGUCUGAGAGGAUGAUCAGUCACACUGGAACUGAGACACGGUCCAGCUCCUACGGGAGGCAGCAGA
rnacentral:rRNA from 1 species